rnacentral:rRNA from 1 species
AGAAAGGCUGGCGGUGGAUACCUAUGCACCCAGAGACGAGGAAGGGCAUAGUUAGCGACGAAAUGCUUCAGAGAGUUGCAAAUAAGCGUAGAUCAGGAGGUCAACCUUUCAAACUGCUGCUGAAUCCAUGGGCAGGCAAGAGACAACCUGGCAAACUGAAAUAUCUUAGUAGCCAGAGGAAAAGAAAGCAAAAGUGAUUCCCGUAGUAACGACGAGUGAAAUGGGAGCAGCCUAAACCGUAAAAAUGAGGUUGUGGGAGAGCAAUGCAAACGUAGUGCCGCUAGGCAAAGCGGUGGAGUGUUGCACCCUAGAUGGCGAGAGUUUAGUAGCCGAAAGCAUCCCUAGCUUACGCUCUGACCCGAGUAGCAUGGGGCACGUGGAAUCCCGUGUGAAUUAGCAAGGACCACCUUGCAAGCCUCUGACGGGGCUCCUGGCUGACCUAUAGUGAAGUAGUACCGUGAGGGAAGGGUGAAAAGAACCCCCAUCGGGGAGUGAAAUAGAAGAUGAAACCAUCAGUUUCCAAGUAGUGGGAGGAGACCAGGACUCUGACCGCGUACCUAUUGAAGAAUGAGCCGACGACUCAUAGGCAGUGGCUUGGUUAAGGGAACCCACCGGAGCCAUAGCGAAAGCGAGUCAGAAUGGGGCAAUUCUCACUGCUUAUGGACCCGAACCUUUCUUCUUCAGGAUGCAGCUUGGGUGAAACUAAGUGGAGGUCCGAACUGACUGAUGUUGAAGAAUCAGCGGAUGAGUUGUGGUUAGGGGUGAAAUGCCACUCAAACCAGAGCUAGCUGGUUCUCCCUGAAAUGCAUUGAAGCGCAGCAGUUGACUGGACAUCUAGGAGUAAAGCACUGUUUCGGUGCGGGCAAUGAGAGCAGUACCAAAUUGAGGCAAACUCUGAAUAUUAGAUACGAUCUCAAAAUCACAAGGGUCAAGGUCGGCGAGUGAGACGACGAGGGAUAAGCUUCAUCGUCGAGAGGGAAACAACCUGGAUCACCAGCUAAGGCCCCUAAAUGACUGCUCAGUGAUAAAGGAGGUAGGGGUGCAAAGACAGCCAGGAGGUUUGCCUAGAAGCAACCACCCUUGAAAAAGUGCGUAAUAGCUCACUAAUCGAGCGCACUUGCACCAAAGAUGAAUUGGGCUAAGCGAUCUGUUGAAGCUAUGGGAUGUCAAAAUGCAUCGAUAGGGGAGCGUUCCGCCUUAGAGGGAAGCACCUGCACGAGUAGUGGUGGAAGAGGCGGAAGCGGGAAUGUCGGCUUUUUUAAGGCAAACAUUGGUGAGAAUCCAAUGCCCUGAAAAUCGCUCUGUGGGGGUUCCUCCGCAAGGUUCAUCCACGGAGGGUGAGUUAGGGCCUAAGAUUAGGCCGAAAGGUGUAGUCGAUGGACAAGAGGUGAAUAUUCCAGUACUACCUCUUGUUGGUCCCGAGGUACGGAGGAGGCUAGGUUAGCAGAAAAAUGGUUAUCGGUUCAAGGAUGCAAGGUGCCCCUAUUUUUUUACGGUCAAAAGGGGUAGAGAAAAUACCUCAAGCCAAUGUUCGAGUACCAGGCGCUACAACGUUGAAGUCACCCAUGCCAUACUCCUAGGAAAAGCUCGAACGACCUUCAACAAAAGGGUACCUGUACCCGAAACUAACACAGGUAGGUAGGUAGAGAAUACCUAGGGGUGCGAGGCAACUCUCUCUAAGGAACUCGACAAAAUAGUCUCGUAACUUCGAUAGGAGAGCCUAAGACCAAAGCCCUAGUGAACGACAGCUGUCACUAUAACGAUCCCCAUGGAGCGGUAGCAAAAUUCCUUGUUGGGUCAGUUUCGACCCACACAAAAGGCGUAUCGAUUUGGACACUGUCUCGGAGAGAGGCUCGGUGAAAUUGACAUGUCUGUGAAGAUGCAAACUACUUACACCUGGACAGAAAGACCCUAUUCAGCUUCACUCUUCCCUGGGAUUGGCUUUGGGCCUUUCUUGCACAGCCCAUGGAGCGGUGAAAGGUGAAGAAGGCCCCCUUCCGGGGGGCCCGAGCCAUCAGUGAGAUACCACUCUUCUAGAGCUUGAAUUCUAAUCUUGUGUCAGGACCUACAAGCCAAGCGACAGUCUCAGGUAGACAAUUUCCAUGGGGCGUAGGCCUCCCCAAAAGGUAAUGGAGGCGUACAAAGGUUUCCUCAGGCCAGAUGGAGAUUGGCCCUCGAGUGUAAAGGCAAAAGGAAGCUUAACUACAAGACCCACCCAACAGGGAUGAAAGUCGGCCUUAGUGAUCUGAUGGUGCCGAGUGGAAGGGUCAUCGCUCAACGGAUAAAAGUGACUCUAGGAAUAAGAGGCUGAUCUUCCCCCAAGAGCUCACAUGGGAAGGUUUGGCACCUCGACGUCGGCACUUCGCCACUAGGGGCUGUAGUAUGUUCCAAGGGUUGGGCUGUUCGCCCAUGAAAGCGGUAUAUGAGCUGAGUUCAAAACGUCGUGAGACAGUUCGAUCCAUAUCCGGUGUGGGCCUUAGAGCAUUGAGAGGACCUUUCCAUAGUAUGAGAAGAUCGGGAAGAACGCACCUCUAGUGUACCAGUUAUCAUGCCCACAGUAAAGGUUGGGUAGCCAAGUGCGAAGCGGAUAACUGCUGAAAGCAUCUAAGUAGUAAGCCCACCCCAAGAGGAGUGCUCUCCUAUUCCAACUCCCCAGAGCUUCCGGUAGCAUAGCCAAGACAGCAAUGGGUUCUCUGCCCCUACGGAGAUGGAGCGACAAAAGUUUUGAGAAUGAAAGAGAAGGUCACAGUGAGAUGAGCUGUUUAUCAUCACGAUAGGUGUCAAGUGGAAGUGCAAUGAUGUAUGCAGUUGAGGCAUCCUAACAGACCGGUAGACUUAAAC